rnacentral:rRNA from 1 species
CCUACGGGGGCUGCAGUGAGGAAUUUUGCGCAAUGGGGGAAACCCUGACGCAGCGACGCCGCGUGGGUGAUGAAGGCUUUCGAGUCGUAAAGCCCUGUCAAGUGGGAAGAACCGUCAAUGUGAUAAUACCACAUUGAUCUGACGGUACCACUAAAGGAAGCACCGGCUAACUCCGUGCCAGCAGCCGCGGUAAUACGGAGGGUGCGAGCGUUGUUCGGAAUUACUGGGCGUAAAGGGCGCGUAGGCGGCACUGUAAGUCAGAUGUGAAAGUCCAGGGCUUAACCCUGGAAGUGCAUCUGAGACUGCAGAGCUUGAGUAUCGGAGGGGAAAGUAGAAUUCCCGGUGUAGAGGUGAAAUUCGUAGAUAUCGGGAGGAAUACCGGUGGCGAAGGCGACUUUCUGGACGAAUACUGACGCUGAUGCGCGAAAGCGUGGGGAGCAAACA